UAGAUGGAGAUCACAGCAUGCUUACAGGAGGAAACGGAGGAUGGAGGAUGGAUGUGGAGAGACAGAGAGACUGUGGGAGAAAGGAGCGAGAGGAAAAAGUGUCGGUCUGCAGACUCCCAUUGGCUAUCAGCCCAAGCCACAGCGCAGUGGAGCGCAGGAGCUUCAGUUCCACGGACAGCGCCAGUAACAGCCUUGUGGACGGCAUAAGGGAGGUUGGUACCAUGGACAGCGCCAUGUAUUGACGCUCAGCCCCCACGGUCAACACAGUGGAACUUCAGCACCACGGACAUCGCCAGUGCCAGCUUUGUGGACAACACAACGGAGCGCUAGCACCAUGGACAGUUACCAACACGGUGGAGCCGCGGUACCACGGACAGCUCUACUGAGCGCUCCACACUCUGGCUGCACCCGUCAGGCUGGAGCUGGCUCUGUCCUGCUGGCAGUGCGGCUCUAGGGGCCUCUGUGCAAUCACCUCAACAUACCCCGUCACACAUACUAAACCUAAAUCCUGUGCCCACACUAUCCUGUGGUCUUCAGGGAACAAAUAUGCCUCACUCAUUAGUCAAGCCAGAAAUAUUGUUCUUCUAUUUUGGAGUUAAUAGAGAUGGUCUGUCAGCUGGCUUAUCAUUGCCAGCAAGUUCCUUUAUAGAGAUUCCAAGUUAUCCCAGCUUAGCCUUGCUGUAGUAAUGUGCACUAGACUGGAGCUCUUGUAAAACUAGAUUGUAAACCACACUGGCUGUAAUAAAAUGGUUAAUUGCU